rnacentral:rRNA from 1 species
UACGGGGGGGGCAAGCGUUGUUCGGAAUUACUGGGCGUAAAGGGCUCGUAGGCGGCCAACUAAGUCAGACGUGAAGUCCCUCGGCUUAACCGGGGAACUGCGUCUGAUACUGGAUGGCUUGAGUUCGGGAGAGGGAUGCGGAAUUCCAGGUGUAGCGGUGAAAUGCGUAGAUAUCUGGAGGAACACCGGUGGCGAAGGCGGCAUCCUGGACCGGUAUUGACGCUGAGGCGCGAAAGCUAGGGGAGCAAACGGG